rnacentral:snRNA from 1 species
GGAAAUGAGGGCAGUCUGGCAAUGUGUGUCACCCCAUUGAUUGCCAGGGUUGAUUUGGCUGAUCUGACUGGUUAGGUGGGUGUCCUCUUCCUUCCACACCGCUUCAUGUGCUGCGCUUGCUCAAAGAGGACGACCUUCCUGAUAGAGGACUGUUCUUAAGUCAAGUGUAUACGUGUAGCUGGGCUCCCCUGUUAGAACCUCCAAACAAGCUUUCAAAACACAUAGACAAUAAAUAUACACUUUUUAUUUUUUUAAUUUUUU